AGAGUUUGAUCCUGGCUCAGGAUGAACGCUGGCGGCGUGCCUAAUACAUGCAAGUCGAACGAAACUUCUUUAUCACCGAGUGCUUGCACUCACCGGUAAAGGGUUGAGUGGCGAACGGGUGAGUAACACGUGGGCAACCUGCCCAAAAGAGGGGGAUAACACUUGGAAACAGGUGCUAAUACCGCAUAACCAUAGUUACCGCAUGGUAGCUAUGUAAAAGGUGGCUAUGCUACCGCUUUUGGAUGGGCCCGCGGCGCAUUAGCUAGUUGGUGGGGUAAAGGCUUACCAAGGCAAUGAUGCGUAGCCGAACUGAGAGGUUGAUCGGCCACAUUGGGACUGAGACACGGCCCAGACUCCUACGGGAGGCAGCAGUAGGGAAUCUUCCACAAUGGGCGAAAGCCUGAUGGAGCAACGCCGCGUGGGUGAAGAAGGUCUUCGGAUCGUAAAACCCUGUUGUUAGAGAAGAAAGUGCGUGAGAGUAACUGUUCACGUUUCGACGGUAUCUAACCAGAAAGCCACGGCUAACUACGUGCCAGCAGCCGCGGU
rnacentral:rRNA from 1 species